rnacentral:piRNA from 1 species
UAGCUCCGUGGCUGUGGUCCCCUGC